rnacentral:tRNA from 1 species
GACCCUUUAGCUCAGCUGGAUAGAGCACCUGCCUUCUAAGCAGGUUGUCGGCAGUUCGACUCUGCCAUGGGUCA